rnacentral:rRNA from 1 species
ACUCCUACGGGAGGCAGCAGUAGGGAAUCUUCCACAAUGGGCGAAAGCCUGAUGGAGCAACGCCGCGUGGGUGAAGAAGGUCUUCGGAUCGUAAAACCCUGUUGUUAGAGAAGAAAGUGCGUGAGAGUAACUGUUCACGUUUCGACGGUAUCUAACCAGAAAGCCACGGCUAACUACGUGCCAGCAGCCGCGGUAAUACGUAGGUGGCAAGCGUUAUCCGGAUUUAUUGGGCGUAAAGGGAACGCAGGCGGUCUUUUAAGUCUGAUGUGAAAGCCUUCGGCUUAACCGGAGUAGUGCAUUGGAAACUGGGAGACUUGAGUGCAGAAGAGGAGAGUGGAACUCCAUGUGUAGCGGUGAAAUGCGUAGAUAUAUGGAAGAACACCAGUGGCGAAAGCGGCUCUCUGGUCUGUAACUGACGCUGAGGUUCGAAAGCGUGGGUAGCAAACAGGAUUAGAUACCCCUGGUAGGAUAGCG